rnacentral:lncRNA from 1 species
AGUUACAACUAUUUCAAGUUUCCAUCAUAAAACAGUGCCAUAUUAGUCAGUGGAAUGCCAUGCCACAAGAGGAAAUGGCAUUUGUUAAAUUCCAGUAGGGGUCCACGAUUAUGGCGCAUCGCGCCAGGGCCAAAAUUCAAAAUUGUCCUUUUCUAAUGUCUUAGCGUGAUUUCCUCCGCAUCGCGCCAAAGUUCCAGGUCAUAAAAGAAGGGGCAAC